GUUUAGGGUUUAGGGUGAUCAUCCGAUAGGGUUGGAACGAUACACAGAAGAUUAGCAUUGGCCCCUGCGCAAGGAGGACGCGCCCAAAGCGAGAGGGAAAUAAAAAAACC
rnacentral:snRNA from 1 species